UCUAUCCUACGGGGGGCAGCAGUGGGGAAUAUUGCACAAUGGGGGGAACCCUGAUGCAGCGACGCCGCGUGAGUGAAGAAGUAUUUCGGUAUGUAAAGCUCUAUCAGCAGGGAAGAAAAUGACGGUACCUGACUAAGAAGCCCCGGCUAACUACGUGCCAGCAGCCGCGGUAAUACGUAGGGGGCAAGCGUUAUCCGGAUUUACUGGGUGUAAAGGGAGCGUAGACGGUUAUGCAAGUCUGAAGUGAAAGUCCAAGGCUCAACCAUGGGACUGCUUUGGAAACUGUAAAACU
rnacentral:rRNA from 1 species